UUCAACGGCCGCGGUAUACUGACCGUGCAAAGGUAGCGUAAUCACUUGUCUUUUAAUUGGAGACUAGUAUGAAUGGCAUCACGAGAACUAAUCUGUCUCCCUCCCCUAAUCAGUGAAACUGAUCUCCCCGUGCAGAAGCGGGGAUAACAUCAUAAGACGAGAAGACCCUGUGGAGCUUCAAAUCAAUAACCAACUGCUUCACCCACCCUAACCUAAAGGAUACACUCACGCAAACUUGAUUUAGAUUUUCAGCUGGGGCGUCUAUGGAGAAAAAAAAAUCCUCCAUGAAUAUUUAUGCCGAGAGCUACCGCCACAGGCAUUAAUAAACUUAAUUUUAAUUGACCCAAUUUUUGAUCAACGGACCAAGUUACCCCAGGGAUAACAGCGCAAUCCACUUAAAGAGUCCUUAUCGACAAGUGGGCUUACGACCUCGAUGUUGGAUCAGGGCAUCCAAGUGGUGCAGCCGCUACUAAAGGUUCGUUUGUUCAACGAUUAAAG
rnacentral:rRNA from 1 species